rnacentral:lncRNA from 1 species
CUUUCCUAUCAGCAGGAGUGAGCGGGCUUUGCUUGCUUUGGGCAACAAAUCACUUUAGGCCUUUGGCCCCAAACCAUCUCUAGAAUGUGGUCACCUGCCAUCUCAGCAUCUGGCCACCAUAAUGCUAAGCUGUGUGAUGGCAGAGAUUUUUCUUGUUUUGAUCACUGUUUUAUCUGCAAGAUCUACAACUGGCCCAGGGAACUAUGCAAGUAA